AACGAACGCUGGCGGCAGGCUUAACACAUGCAAGUCGAACGCGUGUAGCAAUACACGAGUGGCGCACGGGUGAGUAACGCGUGGAUAUCUGCCUUCUGGUUCGGAAUAACCCCGGGAAACUGGGGCUAAUACCGAAUGGUUCCUACGGGAUAAAGAUUUAUCGCCAGAAGAUGAGUCCGCGUCCGAUUAGCUAGUUGGUGAGGUAACGGCUCACCAAGGCGACGAUCGGUAGCUGGUCUGAGAGGACGAUCAGCCACACUGGGACUGAGACACGGCCCAGACUCCUACGGGAGGCAGCAGUGGGGAAUAUUGGACAAUGGGGGCAACCCUGAUACAGCCAUGCCGCGUGAGUGAUGAAGGCCUCCGGGUUGUAAAGCUCUUUUGGCGGGGACGAUGAUGACGGUACCCGCAGAAUAAGCCCCGGCUAACUUCGUGCCAGCAGCCGCAGUAA
rnacentral:rRNA from 1 species